GCGCCCGUAGCUCAAUGGAUAGAGUAGCUGGCUACGAACCAGUUGGUUGUAGGUUCGACUCCUGCCGGGCGCG
rnacentral:tRNA from 1 species